rnacentral:tRNA from 2 species
GGGGGUAUAGCUCAGCUGGUAGAGCACCUGCCCUGCAAGCAGGGGGUCAGCGGUUCGAACCCGCUUACCUCCACCA